CAAUAGCGUAUAUUAAAGUUGUUGCGGUUAAAAAGCUCGUAGUUGGAUUUCUGCUGAGAACGACCGGUCCGCCCUUUGGGUGUGUAUCUGGCUCUUUCUUGGCAUCUUCUUGGUGAACGUUGCUGCACUUGACUGUGUGGAGCGCUACCCAGGACUUUUACUUUGAGGAAAUUAGAGUGUUUCAAGCAGGCUUACGCCGUUGAAUCCGUUAGCAUGGAAUAAUAGGAUAGGACCUCGGUUCUAUUUUGUUGGUUUUGAGAGCUGGGGCAGCGAUUGAUAGGGACGGAUGGGGGCGUCCGAACUUUACUGUCAGAGGUGAAAUUCUUAGAUCGGUCAAAGGCGAACUACUGCGAACGCAUUCGCCAAGAAUGUUUUCUUUAA
rnacentral:rRNA from 1 species